rnacentral:rRNA from 1 species
GACGAAGGGGGCUAGCGUUGUUCGGUAUUCCUGUGCGUAAAGCGCACUCAGGUGGAUUUAUAAGUCAGGGGUGAAAUCCCGGGGCUCAACCUCGGAAUUGCCUUUGAUACUGUCUAUCUUGAGUCCGGGAGAGGUGAGUGGAAUUCCUAGUGUAGAGGUGAAAUUCGUAGAUAUUAGGAAGAACACCAGUGGCGGAGGCGGCUCACUGGCCCGGUACUGACGAUCCCUUGAGAGAGCGUGGGGAGCAAACAGG